rnacentral:tRNA from 1 species
GCCGCGGUAGCUCAGCAGGGAGAGCGUCAGACUGAAGAUCUGAAGGUCGCCGGUUCGAUUCCGGCCCGCGGCA